GGAAUAUUGGGCAAUGGGCGCAAGCCUGACCCAGCGACGCCGCGUGAGGGAUGAAGGCCUUCGGGUUGUAAACCUCUUUCAGUAGGGAAGAAGCGAAAGUGACGGUACCUAAAGAAGAAGCACCGGCUAACUAUGUGCCAGCAGCCGCGGUAAUACAUAGGGUGCAAGCGUUGUCCGGAAUUAUUGGGCGUAAAGAGCUCGUAGGUCGUUUGCCGCGUCGAUUGUGAAAAUCUGAGGCUCAACCUCAGACCUGCAGUCGAUACGGGCAAACUAGAGUGUGGUAGGGGAGACUGGAAUUCCUGGUGUAGCGGUGGAAUGCGCAGAUAUCAGGAGGAACACCAAUGGCGAAGGCAGGUCUCUGGGCCAUAACUGACACUGAGGAGCGAAAGCGCGGGGAGCGAACAGGAUUAGAUACCCUGGUAGUCCGCGCCGUAAACGAUGGGCACUAGCUGUGAGAGCCUUCCACGGUUCUCGCGACGCAGCAAACGCAUUAAGUGCCCCGCCUGGGGAGUACGAUCGCAAGAUUAAAACUCAAAUGAAUUGACGG
rnacentral:rRNA from 1 species